UUCCAAAAAAAUUAUAAUCUCCUGAUUUUCCUCUAUAUAUAUAGCCCUUUAUCUUCUCACUUCUCUUUGUGACCUCUAAUGAAUAAUACACCAAGACACCAAAGAUCAAGAACAAAGAAGAAGGAUGGUCAUCCUCAACGUCGCGUCCUCAUCGCGCACCACUAUCAGUUGAAGCUGCCAGCGUGAUCUCAACUUCCCUGGUCUCGUAAAGGAAAGAUCAGAUCAUGUGGCAGCUUCACCUGUUGCUGGGAGCUCGAGAAAACCCUAAUUCCAGAUUUUAGUCUCCGGCCAUGCUGGCGUUCUUCCAAAGGGAAACAACCAGCAAGUACUGAAGAGGCACUACAUUGAAGUUGCUGAAAGAAGAUGCAAGAAGUGGGAUGUGAAAGAGAUGGAUCAUGCACACUCGUGCACGGGUGCGGGUCUUGAGGGGGAACACAAGCCGACCGCUCAUCUGUAUUAGCUUCUUUAUCAUUAGUUGGAAAAGACGUUUCACGGAUUUAUUUACAGACGAUGUGACGGACUGAUAGAUCUUACCAUAAUGGAGGAUUAUGUUUAGAAAAAAUAUAAUUCGUGUUGUUAUAGUA